AUGCCAUACGGAGUCACGGGAGGUCCUACGACGUUCCAAGGUGGCAUGAACACAGUCUUGUCGCCGCUGUUACGCCAUGGUGUUCUUGUGUUUAUGCACGACAUUUUGAUGCAUUCCAAAGACCUUGUGGGGCAUAGAGAAUUGCUGCGACAAGUGUUGCAGUUGUUGUCUGAGAAUGAACUCAAGGUCAAGCUUUCCAAAUGCACAUUUGCUCAGCCUCAGAUUGAUUACUUGGGUCAUUGCAUCAGUGCGCAAGGAGUGGCCACGGACCAAAAAAAGGUUGCAGCUGUCAGAGACUGGCCAACACCUUCACCAGUACGUGAGUUGAGGGGCUUCUUGGGGUUAGCCGGGUACUACCGGAAGUUCGUCAGAAACUUUGGGGUUAUCAGUCGACCACUCACUGAUCUACUGAAAAAGAACACACUCUUUGUCUGGACACCCACAACGGAUGCAACUUUCUCCUCUCUGAAACAAGCCUUGAUUGAAGCGCCCGUGCUCACCUUACGGGACUUCGAGAAGGUAUUCGUGGUGGAAACGGAUGCUAGUGCCACCGGUGUGCGAGUCGUCCUUAUGCAAGACCAUCAUCCCUUGGCAUAUCUCAGUAAGCCGCUCUGCUCCAAGAAUUUGGGAUUAUCAGCUUAUGAGAAGGAAUGCUUAUCAGAUUCAGAAAACCCACUGAUUCCUAUGUGUUUGUAA
rnacentral:rRNA from 1 species